UUUGGGACUUGAUGCAGCACAAGAGAUCGUCCAUCUGUUAGGUCGCUUUCAAAGCAAUAAUAUCUAACAGAUCUUUUCACUCUCAAUGAACCUGGAGGCUUUACAGUUCAUGUUAAAACAGAUUACCCUGAAUUUUAAGACCAGAGAACUAAGCUGAUGGUGGCCCUUCCCCUUGAGAAUGCUCGCUGUGCUCUUACUCGUGAAAGAGCUGGUGCCAAGCUGGGUGAGGACAUUACUCCGCUGAAAAGUAAGACAAGUAGCCUGCGGGGAAUGCCACAAGCUGCUUUUUGCUAUGGCGAUGUAUGGGAUGGUGGCAGC